CUACGGGUGGCACCAGUGAGGAAUAUUGCACAAUGGGGGGAACCCUGAUGCAGCAACGCCGCGUGGAGGAUGACGCAUUUCGGUGUGUAAACUCCUUUUAUAUGUCAAGAAAAUGACGGUAGCAUAUGAAUAAGCACCGGCUAACUCCGUGCCAGCAGCCGCGGUAAUACGGGGGGUGCAAGCGUUACUCGGAAUCACUGGGCGUAAAGGACGCGUAGGCGGGUUGGAAAGUCAGGUGUGAAAUCCUACAGCUUAACUGUAGAACUGCACUUGAAACUUCUAAUCUAGAGUAUGGGAGGGGGAGAUGGAAUUAGUGGUGUAGGGGUAACAUCCGUAGAUAUCACUAGGAAUACCUAAAGCGAAGGCGAUCUCCUGGAACAUUACUGACGCUAAGGCGUGAAAGCGUGGGGAGCAAACAGGAUUAGAUACCCCGGUAGUC
rnacentral:rRNA from 1 species